ACGUAGGGUGCGAGCGUUGUCCGGAAUUACUGGGCGUAAAGAGCUCGUAGGCGGUUUGUCGCGUCGUCUGUGAAAUUCUGCAACUCAAUUGCAGGCGUGCAGGCGAUACGGGCAGACUUGAGUACUACAGGGGAGACUGGAAUUCCUGGUGUAGCGGUGAAAUGCGCAGAUAUCAGGAGGAACACCGGUGGCGAAGGCGGGUCUCUGGGUAGUAACUGACGCUGAGGAGCGAAAGCGUGGGGAGCGAACAG
rnacentral:rRNA from 1 species